rnacentral:rRNA from 1 species
AUUGAACGCUGGCGGCAUGCCUUACACAUGCAAGUCGAACGGCAGCGCGGACUUCGGUCUGGCGGCGAGUGGCGAACGGGUGAGUAAUACAUCGGAACGUACCCUGUUGUGGGGGAUAACUAGUCGAAAGAUUAGCUAAUACCGCAUACGACCUGAGGGUGAAAGUGGGGGACCGCAAGGCCUCACGCAGCAGGAGCGGCCGAUGUCUGAUUAGCUAGUUGGUGGGGUAAAGGCCCACCAAGGCGACGAUCAGUAGCUAGUCUGAGAGGACGAUCAGCCACCCGGGAGCGGAGACACGCCCAAGCCUCCGAGGGGGGGCAGCAGGGGGGAUUUUUGGACAAGGGGGGCAACCUUGACCCAGCAUGGCGGCGGGUGGAAAGAGGGCCUUGGGUUUGUAAAGCAGUUUGGCCGGGAAAAAAACCGCGGUGGUAAAUACCUGGGGGGGAGGAGGGUACGGGAAAAAAAAGGCCCGGCAAACUACGUG